AAUGACGAAAAUAAAGAAUGAAACGGGAAAGCUGUUCCAGCAGUGUGAAAGCACAAGAUUAUUGUAAAGCUGUUCCAACACUGUGGAAACACAAGAUUAUUGUAAGAAUGACGUUCAGCGAUUCCCUAUGAAAAUCGGAAUGGCUACACUGCACGCAAUGGGAGAACAAUACACACUGCCUUCAGCGGACAUCACAGCGUAACUUUGUUACUUUUGGCUGAAAUUAUUCAAAAAAAUUCACAAAAAUUGUUCGAGAUAUGAAUGACAUUAUGUCAAAAUUUGAUUAAAUUCUCAUUAGUUCUUCCCA